rnacentral:rRNA from 1 species
UACAGAGGGGGCAAGCGUUGUUCGGAAUUACUGGGCGUAAAGGGCGCGUAGGCGGCCUGUUAAGUCGAACGUGAAAUCCCCGGGCUCAACCCGGGAACUGCGUCCGAUACUGGCAGGCUUGAAUCCGGGAGAGGGAUGCGGAAUUCCAGGUGUAGCGGUGAAAUGCGCAGAUAUCAGGAGGAACACCGGUGGCGAAGGCGGUUCUCGUGGGCAUGUCCUGACGCUGAGGAGCGAAAGUGUGGGGAGCGAACAGG